AAAAAAUAUAGUGCUGUUGAGAGCGUAAAAAUCAGGAUCAUGAAAUGGCCUUGCAUGUUGGUUCAGGAAGAAAGAGUUGCAGCCAAGGAUGACUUGCCGACUUUUGUAUUACUCUUCAUAUAUAUAUAUAUAUAUGUAUAUAUGGAAAUUACAUUAAACUUGGAAGAGAAAGUUGGCAAGUGGUCCUUGGCUACAUCUUUCUUUCUGCCCCUCAUGCCAGGUCUUUCCUGUACAUCAUUAUUAAUUCCUUCUACAAAACCAUGGUGUGACUUAAGCAUACAUAUGGUGUUCCUUCGCAGUUCCCAGAUCAAGUAGUAGGGACGAACAUUCAGAAAUUAAAUGUGAUAUCUUUGUGUGUUGACUGCGUGAAACAACAUGAGUAAGUUGUAUUUUUCGGUACAAAAUGCUUUCAUUAGAGUUGAGUCAAACUUUAUGAACUUAUAAGAUCGAUUUGUUCUUAAUUUCAUAGUUUUCAAACUUUGGAUAUUUACACAUGCAUGUACAAAAGUAAUUAAAAGAUGUAGUCGUAGUAGUUCGUUAGAUUCAUAUAAAAUAUAUGAUACAUGUUUUCAAUAAUGAGUAUGAUUGGUAUA